rnacentral:ncRNA from 1 species
UUAAAGACAAUGAUAAGGAAGAGUAAAUAAAAUACUGUUCUAAGAGAGAAAAAUCCAUUGGCUGUAAGAUUUUUUGUUCAAGUGUUAUUGAAAACCACCUUUAAGUUGAGUAUUGAAAUAUUAGUAGAUAUUUUCCGCCGCAAGCGUUAAAAGCUAUGAGAUAACAAUAAUAAUGUAUACAAAUAUAUUAUACUUUAUUGUUAAUUUGGGUGGAAUCGCGAUAAAACUCGCCCCAUUU